rnacentral:rRNA from 1 species
UACGUAGGGUGCAAGCGUUGUCCGGAAUUAUUGGGCGUAAAGAGCUCGUAGGCGGUUUGUCGCGUCUGCUGUGAAAACGCGAGGCUCAACCUCGCGCCUGCAGUGGGUACGGGCAGACUAGAGUGCGGUAGGGGAGAUUGGAAUUCCUGGUGUAGCGGUGGAAUGCGCAGAUAUCAGGAGGAACACCGAUGGCGAAGGCAGAUCUCUGGGCCGUAACUGACGCUGAGGAGCGAAAGCGUGGGGAGCGAAUGGG